GACCAGGUGUUCGCCGGCGGCGUUCCCUUCGGGGGGCAAUGCGGGAGGAAAGUCCGGGCACUGUAGAGCAGGUUGCCGGGUAACGCCCGGUCGUGGUGACAUGAAGGCAAGUGCAACAGAAAGCAAACCGCCAGGAAUCCUUCGGGAUUCGCUCCGGCCCCCACGCGCCACCAUCCCCUGCUGUCAGGGGUACGAGGGCGCACAGGACCGGCGGGACUUUGGUCUCGGGUAAGGUCGAAACGGUGGAGUAAGAGCCCACCGGCGACCCUGGAGACAGGGUCGGCCAGGUAAACCCCAGCUAGUGCAAGGUCGAAUUGAGGACAGUGGGCUGCUCGUCCCAGCGCCUCAGGUGGACUGCUCGAGGGUGUCGGCAACGGCAUCCCUAGACGAAUGAACACUGCCUCCCCGAGGGUGACCGGAGGGGGGAACAGGACCCGGCUUACGGA
rnacentral:RNase_P_RNA from 1 species